ACCCUACGGGGGGCAGCAGUGGGGAAUUUUGGACAAUGGGGGCAACCCUGAUCCAGCCAUGCCGCGUGAGUGAAGAAGGCCUUCGGGUUGUAAAGCUCUUUCGGCCGGGAAGAAAUCGCAUGGGCUAAUACCCUGUGUGGAUGACGGUACCGGAAUAAGAAGCACCGGCUAACUACGUGCCAGCAGCCGCGGUAAUACGUAGGGUGCGAGCGUUAAUCGGAAUUACUGGGCGUAAAGCGUGCGCAGGCGGUUUUGUAAGACAGGCGUGAAAUCCCCGGGCUUAACCUGGGAACUGCGCUUGUGACUGCAAGGCUAGAGUACGGCAGAGGGGGGUGGAAUUCCACGUGUAGCAGUGAAAUGCGUAGAGAUGUGGAGGAACACCAAUGGCGAAGGCAGCCCCCUGGGUCGAUACUGACGCUCAUGCACGAAAGCGUGGGUAGCAAACAGGAUUAGAUACCCCAGUAGUCG
rnacentral:rRNA from 1 species